GACGAACGCUGGCGGCGUGCCUAAUACAUGCAAGUGGGACGCAAGGGAACACACUGUGCUUGCACACCGUGUUUUCUUGAGUCGCGAACGGGUGAGUAACGCGUAGGUAACCUGCCUAUUAGCGGGGGAUAACUAUUGGAAACGAUAGCUAAUACCGCAUAAUAUUAAUUAUUGCAUGAUAAUUGAUUGAAAGAUGCAAGCGCAUCACUAGUAGAUGGACCUGCGUUGUAUUAGCUAGUUGGUAAGGUAAGAGCUUACCAAGGCGACGAUACAUAGCCGACCUGAGAGGGUGAUCGGCCACACUGGGACUGAGACACGGCCCAGACUCCUACGGGAGGCAGCAGUAGGGAAUCUUCGGCAAUGGACGAAAGUCUGACCGAGCAACGCCGCGUGAGUGAAGAAGGUUUUCGGAUCGUAAAGCUCUGUUGUAAGUCAAGGACGUGUGUGAGAGUGGAAAGUUCACACAGGAC
rnacentral:rRNA from 1 species